rnacentral:misc_RNA from 1 species
GAUGAAGAACGUAGCGAAAUGCGAUAAGUAAUGUGAAUUGCAGAAUUCAGUGAAUCAUCGAAUCUUUGAACGCACCUUGCGCCCUUUGGCUAUUCCGAAGGGCAUGCCUGUUUGAGUAUCGUGAACACCUCAACUCUCAUGGUUUGCCAUGAUGAGCUUGGACUUGGGGGUUUUGCUGGCCUUCGGUCGGCUCCUCUCAAACGGAUCAGCUUUCCAGUGUUUGGUGGCGUCACGGGUGUGAUAACUAUCUACGCCUGUGGUUUUCUGCCAGAUAACCUUCAGCGAUGGAGGUUCGCUGGGGCUCAUAAAUGUCUCUCUUCAGUGGAGACAGCUUUUUGGACGUUUGAUCUCAAAUCAGGUAGGGAUACCCGCUGAACUUAAGCAUAUCAAUAAGCGGAGGA